GGAUGGGAUGGAGGCAACCCUGAUGGAGCAACACCGCGUGAAGGAUGAAGGCCCUCGGGUCGUAAACUUCUUUUAUAAGUGAGGAAUAUGACGGUAACUUAUGAAUAAGGGUCGGCUAACUACGUGCCAGCAGCCGCGGUCAUACGUAGGACCCAAGCGUUAUCCGGAGUGACUGGGCGUAAAGAGUUGCGUAGGCGGUCGUAUAAGCGAAUAGUGAAAUCUGGUGGCUCAACCAUCAACCCAUUGUUCG
rnacentral:rRNA from 1 species